rnacentral:rRNA from 1 species
UACGUAGGGUGCGAGCGUUGUCCGGAAUUAUUGGGCGUAAAGGGCUCGUAGGCGGUUUGUCACGUCAGGAGUGAAAACUCGGGGCUCAACCCCGAGCCUGCUUCUGAUACGGGCAGACUAGAGGUAUGCAGGGGAGAACGGAAUUCCUGGUGUAGCGGUGAAAUGCGCAGAUAUCAGGAGGAACACCUGCGGUGUAGACGGCUUACUGGACCAUCACUGACGCUGAGGCACGAAAGCGUGGGUAGCAAACAGG